rnacentral:rRNA from 1 species
UACGUAGGGCGCAAGCGUUGUCCGGAAUUAUUGGGCGUAAAGAGCUCGUAGGCGGCUUGUCACGUCGGGUGUGAAAGCCCGGGGCUUAACCCCGGGGUCUGCAUUCGAUACGGGGCUGGCUAGAGUGUGGGUAGGGGAGAUCGGAAUUCCUGGCGUAGCGGUGAAAUGCGCAGAUAUCAGGAGGAACACCGGUGGCGAAGGCGGGUCUCUGGGCCGAUAUUGACGCUGAGGAGCGAAAGCGUGGGGAGCGAACAGG